rnacentral:rRNA from 1 species
CCUACGGGAGGCAGCAGUGGGGGAUAUUGCACAAUGGAGGAAACUCUGAUGCAGCGACGCCGCGUGAGGGAAGACGGUCUUCGGAUUGUAAACCUCUGUCAGCGGGGAAGAAAAUGACGGUACCCAAAGAGGAAGCCCCGGCUAACUACGUGCCAGCAGCCGCGGUAAUACGUAGGGAGCGAGCGUUGUCCGGAUUUACUGGGUGAAAAGGGAGCGUAGGCGGGGGAGAAAGUUGAAUGUUAAAUCUAGCGACUAAACUGGUAGCUGCGUUCGAAAAUUCUUGUCUUGAGUGAAGGAGAGGCAGGUGGAAUUCCUAGUGUAGCGGUGAAAUGCGUAGAUAUUAGGAGGAACACCAGUGGCGAAGGCGGCCUGCUGGACUUUAACUGACGCUGAGGCUCGAAAGCGUGGGGAGCAAACAGGAUUAGAUACCCCGGUAGUC